rnacentral:RNase_P_RNA from 1 species
UAUAUAUAUAUUAUAAAGGAAAGUCAUAUAUUAUAUUAAAUAAUAUAUAUAAAUAAGUAUAUAUAUAAAUAAAUAAAUAUAUAUAUUGAAAUAAUAAUAAUAGAAUAAUAAUAGUUUCUAAUUCCCCGACCCCCUAUAGGGGGGGUCGGGGAAUGAAAUAGAAAAUAGUUAUAUAAAAUAUAACAUAAAUAUGCUUAAAUAUAUAUAUAUAUAU